rnacentral:rRNA from 1 species
GAUGAACGCUGGUGGCGUGCCUAAUACAUGCAAGUCGAGCGAACGGACGAGAAGCUUGCUUCUCUGAUGUUAGCGGCGGACGGGUGAGUAACACGUGGAUAACCUACCUAUAAGACUGGGAUAACUUCGGGAAACCGGAGCUAAUACCGGAUGAUAUUUUGAACCGCAUGGUUCAAAAGUGAAAGACGGUCUUGCUGUCACUUAUAGAUGGAUCCGCGCUGCAUUAGCUAGUUGGUAAGGUAACGGCUUACCAAGGCAACGAUGCAUAGCCGACCUGAGAGGGUGAUCGGCCACACUGGAACUGAGACACGGUCCAGACUCCUACGGGAGGCAGCAGUAGGGAAUCUUCCGCAAUGGGCGAAAGCCUGACGGAGCAACGCCGCGUGAGUGAUGAAGGUCUUCGGAUCGUAAAACUCUGUUAUUAGGGAAGAACAUAUGUGUAAGUAACUGUGCCCAUCUUGACGGUACCUAAUCAGAAAGCCACGGCUAACUACGUG